rnacentral:rRNA from 1 species
CACGUAGGCACCAAGCGUUGUCCGGAUUUAUUGGGCGUAAAGAGCUCGUAGGCGGUUCGGUAAGUCGGGUGUGAAAACUUUGGGCUCAACCCAAAGCCUGCACUCGAUACUGCUGUGACUUGAGUCCGGUAGGGGGAGUGGGGAAUUCCUGGUGUAGCGGUGGAAUACGCAGAUAUCGGGAGGAACACCGGUGGCGAAGGCGGGUCUCUGGGCAGUAACUGACGCUGAGGAGCGAAAGCGUGGGGAGCGAACAGG